rnacentral:rRNA from 1 species
UUCCGGUUGAUCCUGCCAGAGGUUACUGCUAUCGGUGUUCGCCUAAGCCAUGCGAGUCAUAUGUAGCAAUACAUGGCGUACUGCUCAGUAACACGUGGAUAACCUGCCCUUGGGUCCGGCAUAACCCCGGGAAACUGGGGAUAAUUCCGGAUAACGCACAUAUGCUGGAAUGCUUUAUGCGUAAAAUGGAUUCGUCUGCCCAAGGAUGGGUCUGCGGCCUAUCAGGUAGUAGUGGGUGUAAUGUACCUACUAGCCAACAACGGGUACGGGUUGUGAGAGCAAGAGCCCGGAGAUGGAUUCUGAGACAUGAAAUCAGGCCCUACGGGGCGCAGCAGGCGCGAAAACUUUACAAUGCGGGAAAC